rnacentral:rRNA from 1 species
UACGAAGGGUGCAAGCGUUACUCGGAAUUACUGGGCGUAAAGCGUGCGUAGGCGGUUUGUUAAGUCUGUCGUGAAAGCCCCGGGCUCAACCUGGGAAUGGCGAUGGAUACUGGCGAGCUAGAGUACGGUAGAGGAGAGUGGAAUUCCCGGUGUAGCAGUGAAAUGCGUAGAGAUCGGGAGGAACAUCAGUUGCGAAGGCGGCUCUCUGGACCAGCACUGACACUGAGGCACGAAAGCGUGGGGAGCAAACAGG